rnacentral:lncRNA from 1 species
GACUGGUAUGAGUCACUGUGAUGCCUCCGAGCUGAGCCUCAGUGUUGUCACCUGACACUGACUGUGAGGAGUAAAUGAGACAGUGCAGAAAGAGGACAGAACCCCAUGAACCCAGCUGUGAGGCUCUGUCACCUUCUCCAGCCACGCCUCCCUAAGGAGCCCUGCUCUUCUGUGCACAUCAGCGAACACCAGCACCACGGCUGGUCCCUCAGGGCAGGGCAUGGAGGCCUCGCCUGCCUCUCCUCACAGGUCUUGGCUCACUGGUAGUAAUGUAAGGAGCCACAAAGAACAGGGUGACCAAGUCAUCCUCGUGGCCUGGGACUUCUCUGGUUUCAGCGCUGGAAGUGCCUCAUACCAAGAAUGCACUCGGUCCCUGCCAACUGGAAAUGAUCUUCCACAAGAAUGAACAAGAGAUGCUCUCAUUUAAAAGAAAAGAAACAGAAAAGGUUAUCAGCUAGUAGAGAGGAAAUUCUGCUCUUAACAUAAUGUAGCUUAAAAGAAAAUGCUGCAUUUUGUCAAAGAGUCAGCGAUGAGCCUCUUAUCACAUAUUUGCUCAUAAAGGCAGAAAGGAAGAAUGCUAGCAUGCCAGUGUCCCAUCGUUAACGGGUGGAGGAGAAGAGCAGGCGGAGGAGGAGAACGAUUUCUAUGGGAUUCUCAAAGUAAAUGGGCAAUUUUCAUGCACAUGGAGAAUCUACUUCUGCAGACUGAGUUCAGGCCAGACCUGCUCUGUCAAAGCCCGACAGAGAGACCCGAGAUGGUGAGGGCGGGAGAGGGACAGCGGAGGACCGUGCUAUGGCUUGAGUGUGUUUCCCAAAGUUCCUUGUGUUGGAAACGUAAUCCCUCAUGCAACAGUGUGGAGAUGUGUGAUCUUUCAGUGAUUAAUGGAUGAAUGUGAAAUGAAUUCAUGUCAUUAUGGUGGGAGUGGGUCUACUAUAAAAACAAAGUAAGCCCCUUCUUACCCUCUCUCACGCACUCUCUCACCAUGUGAUGCCCUAUGCCACAUUAUGACACAGCAAAAAGGCCCUCACCUAGUGCAGCCCCUCAGUCUUGGACUCCCCAGCCUCCAGAACCAUGAACCGAAUAAACCUCUAUUGUGGAUAAAUUACUCAGCCUACAAUGUUCUGUUUCAGCCACAGAAAAUGGCUGAAACAUUUGGGAUUCUGGAAGGGACAGGCAGAGCGAAUGAGAGCUGUGGAAAUGAUAACCCCUCCAUGGGUCCAGACUUCACUGUCUAAAAGGUCACUCUAGACCCCCAGCUCAGGGUGAUGCCUGCUGCCUUUGAUCAGAGCCCUCCUGUCAUUGACUGUGACUCAGAUCUGCCCUCUCCACUCCAUCCUCAACCCCAAGAGUCUUCACACCAAUCUGCACCCCAGCUCCAAGCACAAGGCAUUACAAGAAGGUCCAGUGGUUCCUACUUUAGACUACACAACAAAAGAAAUGAAAACCCAGCCCACCGAGGCUUGGCCCCUGUGGGGAUUUCCUUCCCCUGCUCCAUCAGCCAGACAAGGCACCUGCAUCGUGGGUCCUUCAUUCCAUGUGAAUGGAAACCCCGGUCCCUGGCAGAAGUAUUCAUGCUUUGGUUGCAUUUAAAUUGCUGUUCUCUGGGCCAUUUUCAUCCCCUUCUUUUCCAGCCUCCAGCCUCUCAUUUCUGGGGCUCCCAGCCCUCCCUCUCUAAUGCACCCUUUUGUGUUGCUGCAAAUUGCCUUCAGUUCCAUCAAAGCAGACUGCCAGCUUUCCAUAAAGUCCAAAUUUCCUG